rnacentral:rRNA from 1 species
CCUACGGGAGGCAGCAGUGAGGAAUAUUGGUCAAUGGCCGGAAGGCUGAACCAGCCAAGCCGCGUGAAGGACGAAGGUGCCAAGCAUUGUAAACUUCUUUUGUCAAGGGACAAAAUCAGGCUCGAGAGCCUGACCGAGGGUACUUGAAGAAAAAGCCCCGGCUAACUACGUGCCAGCAGCCGCGGUAAUACGUAGGGGGCGAGCGUUAUCCGGAUUCACUGGGUGUAAAGGGAGCGUAGACGGCCAUGCAAGCCAGGGGUGAAAGCCCGGGGCCCAACCCCGGGACUGCCCUUGGAACUGCAUGGCUGGAGGGCGGGAGGGGCAGGCGGAAUUCCUGGUGUAGCGGUGAAAUGCGUAGAUAUACGGAGGAACACCAGUGGCGAAGGCGGCCUGCUGGACAAUAACUGACGCUGAGGCGCGAAAGCGUGGGGAGCAAACAGGAUUAGAUACCCCUGUAGUC